rnacentral:misc_RNA from 1 species
AAACAAUGCUCGGGGUGAGCCGUGAGGGGUUCUCGUCUGUAGUGGACGAGGGCCGGGUGCACAACAACAGGCAAUCGCCAGACACACUAUUGGGCCCUGAGACAACACUCGGCCGACUUCGGUUGAAGUGGUGUCCCUCCAUCUUGGUGGUGGGGUGUGGUGUUUGAGUAUUGGAUAGUGGUUGCGAGCAUA